UACGUAGGCAGCAAGCGUUGUUCGGAGUUACUGGGCGUAAAGGGUGUGUAGGCGGUUGUUUAAGUUUGGUGUGAAAUCUCCCGGCUCAACUGGGAGGGUGCGCCGAAUACUGAAUGACUUGGAGUGCGGGAGAGGAAAGUGGAAUUCCUGGUGUAGCGGUGAAAUGCGUAGAUAUCAGGAGGAACACCGGUGGUGUAGACGGCUUUCUGGACCGUAACUGACGCUGAGGCGCGAAAGCUAGGGGAGCGAACAGG
rnacentral:rRNA from 1 species